ACCUUUGUUCUCUAUUUCCUUGUGAUUCCUAGGGCUAAUCACAGCUCAUUUCCGCAUCCAUAACUUCUCCACCAUGCCUCUUUCAACAUUUGAUCAUAAAAGACUCAGAAACUCAAGAAAGAAACAAGACUCAAACACAUCUUCCCAAAGAAAUUACUAUAAUCAUUCUGUUUUGAAUUUUUAUUUUUCAAACAUGUCUAUCAAAAAUGGUUCAAGGGAAUCAAAGAGUUCUUUAAGUAGAAGGCCUCAAAAGAAGAAGACAUUAAUGUCAUUAACCUUUGAAAAGCUUGGAUGUAAAGGAGAUCAUGUAGACCCUUAUAAGCCGAUGAAGAAGAACAUGGUCAGGAGAAAGAAAACAAGAUUGUUAAGUGUCAAAAAACAAGCGCAUGUUGUAGUUGAUACUCAUGAUGUAUGUUGUGCUCCACCCGGGAUUGGUUCUAUUUAUGAUGUUGUUCCUAGGCCUAAAAUCACUUCUCAAAUAUCGAAAAACAAAGAGAUCAUGAUUUUCAUACAGAACUUCCAGUUUGCAAGAGAAUUAGAUGGCUAUGAUCAAUAUAGAGGCUGGAGAUUCGAUGUAGAUGCUAUGCCAUAUGAGGUUUCUGUUUUGAUUUCACACAUUUUCCCUUGUUUUGUACUCCCUUCGUCCCAUUUUAUACGAGGCUGUUUGACUUGACAUGAAGUUUAAGAAAUAAAGAAAAACUUUUUAAAACUUAUGAUUUAAAACAAAUCAUAGAAAUUUAUGUGGCUGGAGGAAAUCAUGUCAUAAAGGGUGAAAAGGUAAAUUUAAAGUUGAAUUGUUACUAAUUAAAGAAAGGUGUAAUUCUUUUUGCGACUGACUAAAAAUGAAAGAAUGUCAUAUAAAUUAAGACAGAGGGAGGGAGUAUUAAAGAUCACAAAGAAUGUAUAACUUGGUCUGUGUUAAUUGAUUAUUUAUUUAUUUUUUGGUAGCAACUGGUUAAAUUGAGUGAUAGGAUUGGGUAUGUGGGCACAAGUUUGGGAGAAGAGCAAAUACUCCAACAUGCACAAAAGUUGAAGCACUCAACAAUAUCCUCCCUAUUGGCCAUUGCUGAUCUCCAAAAGCUGGAGAUGCACUAUUUGUCAAAAAAGGUACAAAGGUGGCGAUGAAAUUGGAAGACUUGAUUGUGGACACUACCAUCAUAUUGAAUGCAUAAAACAAUGGCUUCUGCAGAAGAAUGCAUGCCCUCUGUGCAAAAGUGCAGUUGCUCAUGAUAAUGGUGAAUGAAAGCGCGCGCUAGCUUUAUUCCAUUUUCAUCAGGAAAUUGUAUCAUCCCCAAAGAAAUAUGUAAUCUUUAAUGUGCUCGAGUUUGGAGAAGCCGGUGGAGGUGGAGGAUCAUUCUUUUAUGUACUCUAGCUUUAUUUCAUGUUAUGUGCACUUAUUUAUAAGUGGAAUUCUGUUGACAGUCAAAU